rnacentral:lncRNA from 1 species
GUUCAGUAAAGUAAGAUGUACAAACACAUCACCAUCACAAAAACACAUUUUUGUCAUGAAUCCAUCUGCUUCCUUUGUUUAAUAUUCACAUAGACCAAGAUGAGCGACACAGGCUCUUUAGAGCCGAUAGUUUUAAAGAUGGACCAUGCAUACUUGAGCAGGGAAACCAAUGAUUGAUAGUUUUUUCUUUCAAUCUUAAGUAUCCGUCCCAUAAUUUUAUUGAUUAGUUAUUACAACAGUCACUCUUUCUAUAGGAGGGUCCGUUGGAGAUAGAAUGGUCUAAGAAGUUGAUCUACAGUGUUCUCUAGCCUGUCGACCCCCCUUUUGCUUGUUGGAGAAGCGUUCAGCUAGCAAUACCUCUCUUCCUG